AGAGUUUGAUCAUGGCUCAGGAUUGAACGCUGGCGGCAGCCUUACACAUGCAAGUUCGAGCGGCAGCGCGGGGGCAACCCUGGCGGCGAGCGGCGGACGGGUGAGUAAUACAUCGGAACGUGUCCUUUUGUGGGGGAUAACCAGUCGAAAGACUGGCUAAUACCGCAUGAGAUCUCACGAUGAAAGCGAGGGACCGCAAGGCCUCGCGCGAUUGGAGCGGCCGAUGUCGGAUUAGCUAGUUGGCGGGGUAAAAGCCCACCAAGGCUACGAUCCGUAGCUGGUUUGAGAGAACGACCAGCCACACUGGGACUGAGACACGGCCCAGACUCCUACGGGAGGCAGCAGUGGGGAAUUUUGGACAAUGGGGGCAACCCUGAUCCAGCCAUGCCGCGUGUGUGAAGAAGGCCUUCGGGUUGUAAAGCACUUUCGGCCGGAACGAAAUCGCCUUCGUUAAUAGCGAAGGUGGAUGACGGUACCGGAAGAAGAAGCACCGGCUAACUACGUGCCAGCAGCCGCGGUA
rnacentral:rRNA from 1 species